GUUAGUCAAGAGUAAAUUAAUUUAUUUUACUUUUUAGAUUUUGUGAUUAAGUAUCUAAUUUUCUAAGUAGAUUAUGAGGUAUAAAUGUAGAGAUUUUUUUUUUGAAAGAAAAAAAGUUUGACUAAAAAACUAAGCAAAUUAAAAAGCAAAUAAAAAGAAAUAAAGAAUAAGACUAAAAAAUUUUUUUUAAAAAAAUAAUCAUACCU
rnacentral:lncRNA from 1 species